rnacentral:lncRNA from 1 species
GACUUAUUGGUCAAGCCAAAAAGAUUGCCGACAGGAUGCUCUUACCCCACCAUGCCUGGCCCAUCUAUCUUGAUCGGAAAGAGGGGAUGCUAACCCCAAAACCUCAAGUUUGCUUGUACAGAUGUGCGAUAGGCAAAUUUAUCAACAUGUAGGUCAUGAGAAUUUGACUUUUAAAAAGAUCUAGAGGGGAUAAAGAUCCAUACAUGGCUCGGGAUAAAGAACCUACCCCUAACACUACAUUCCGGGAUAAUCGCCAGUAGAAUACCCGCCACUCCCGCCUUUUUCAAAGGCUAGCAUCGCUGCUCAGCUCUGAGACUGUCAAGAACCGUACUUUAUUCAC